UAGCAUAUCAAUAAGCGGAGGAAAAGAAACCAACAGGGAUUGCCUUAGUAACUGCGAGUGAAGCGGCAAAAGCUCAAAUUUGAAAUCUGGCGUCUUCGGCGUCCGAGUUGUAAUUUGGAGAGACAUCUUCGGGGUAGGCGCUGUCCUAAGUUCCUUGGAACAGGACGUCACAGAGGGUGAGAAUCCCGUGUCUGGAUGGCUGCCCUACUCCAUGUGAAGUGUCUUCGACGAGUCGAGUUGUUUGGGAAUGCAGCUCAAAAUGGGAGGUAAAUUUCUUCUAAAGCUAAAUAUUGGCGAGAGACCGAUAGCGCACAAGUAGAGUGAUCGAAAGAUGAAAAGCACUUUGAAAAGAGAGUUAAAAAGUACGUGAAAUUGUUGAAAGGGAAGCGCUUGAGACCAGACUCGGUCAGUGGUGAUCAGCGGUGCUUCUGUACCGUGCACUUGCCAUUGACUGGGCCAGCAUCGGUUCGGACGGCGGGAUAAAGGCCUUAGGAAUGUGGCUCUCUUCGGGGAGUGUUAUAGCCUAGGGUGCAAUGCCGCCAGUCUGGACCGAGGACCGCGCUUCGGCUAGGAUGCUGGCGUAAUGGUCUUCAGCGACCCGUCUUGAAACACGGACCAAGGAGUCUAACAUCUAUGCGAGUGUUCGGGUGGAAAACCCUUGCGCGUAAUGAAAGUGAACGGAGGUGAGAACACUUCGGUGUGCAUCAUCGACCGAUCCUGAUGUCUUCGGAUGGAUUUGAGUAUGAGCAUAGCUGUUGGGACCCGAAAGAUGGUGAACUAUGCCUGAAUAGGGUGAAGCCAGAGGAAACUCUGGUGGAGGCUCGCAGCGGUUCUGACGUGCAAAUCGAUCGUCAAAUUUGGGUAUAGGGGCGAAAGACUAAUCGAACCAUCUAGUAGCUGGUUCCUGCCG
rnacentral:rRNA from 1 species